ACCAUAGGCUUACGGCCACCGGUUUCUAGACGAUCACCGAAGUUAAUCAACUUCGAGCCUGGUCAGUAUCUAGAUGGGCGACCGCUUGGGAAUACCAGGUGCU